rnacentral:rRNA from 1 species
AACGAACGCUGGCGGCAGGCUUAACACAUGCAAGUCGAACGCCCCGCAAGGGGAGUGGCAGACGGGUGAGUAACGCGUGGGAACAUACCCUUUCCUGCGGAAUAGCUCUGGGAAACUGGAAUUAAUGCCGCAUACGCCCUACGGGGGAAAGAUUUAUCGGGGAAGGAUUGGCCCGCGUUGGAUUAGCUAGUUGGUGGGGUGAAGGCCUACCAAGGCGACGAUCCAUAGCUGGUCUGAGAGGAUGAUCAGCCACAUUGGGACUGAGACACGGCCCAAACUCCUACGGGAGGCAGCAGUGGGGAAUAUUGGACAAUGGGCGCAAGCCUGAUCCAGCCAUGCCGCGUGAGUGACGAAGGCCUUAGGGUUGUAAAGCUCUUUCACCGAUGAAGAUAAUGACGGUAGUCGGAGAAGAAGCCCCGGCUAACUUCGUGCCAGCCGCCGCCGUAACAC